AAGGACGAGUGUUUGCUUUCAUUGAGUCCCUACUGUUAACACCAGGUGUAAAGAGGUGAAUUUAGGUCCGUUACUCAAAUCUGCAAUUUAUGAUCUUACAGUUGCUUCACGGCUCCCACCGGGGCCCACGUGCCCCUGGGACGGAUGACGACAAGGCACUCGUGUGCCUCCUCCCAGAGGCCCCCUUGGGGCUUGAAGCGCAGGGUUUCAAGUCCCCCUCGGACGCUGGUGCGUGCUCUCUGCCCUCAGGGGACCCCACCGCACACUGCACCCAACACUUUUUUCGGUCUUUUAUAAGUCAUACCCAAGGCACACGGGAGCUCCCACAGCUGCCGCAACGCAGGAUCCGAGCCGCGCCUGCGACCUACACCACAGCUCGGGGAAAUGCUGGAUCCUUAACCCAUUGAGGGAGGCCAGGGAUCGAACCCGCAUCCUCAUGGGUGCUAGCUGGGUUUGUUAACUGCUGAGCCACAACGGCAACUCCCCCACCGCACACUCUGAGAAGCACUGGCUGGGAAAGGGUGGGAGGGAGGUGUGGGUUUCAGGAUCUGAGCCUCCUUGGAGCUCUGCCUGCUGGGCUGAGUCUGAGGUCCCCUCCGCUUCUGCAAUCUGCCUCCUGUGUCAGCCUCUCCCCCUUAUGCUGCUCUGAACAGGGUCACCAGCUUUGUCCUCACCACCCACAGGAAGCCUUGGAACAGCAGGCUGGUGGAGGCGUGCCAGCUCCACCUACAGGCCGCCUCUGGACAGGACCAGCUUGUUCCCCCAGCGUAGGAAUUUGAGGUGCACAGAAGAUGCGGGUUCUGGGGAGCAGCAAAAGCCUGCCUCUUUGUGACAACAUGCAUGCCUCCACCUAGGCAUCAGGGCAGGAAGCCACUUGGUGUAGCGAGAAGGCUGUUUGUUCCACUGCUUUGUGGCUGCAGCUUCCCGUGAGAUCUCAUUGCCCAGACCAGGGAUUGAAUCCAGGCUGCAGUGGUGAAGGCACCAAAUCCUAACCAUUAGACCACCAGGGAGCUCCCUGUUCACUCCUGGGGGAAACCCAGGGCAGCAGAGGGGAAGGGCUCUCCCAGCUGGCACACCAGGUUCUCUGCAGACCCCAGGGGCCAGUUCUCUCGGGCCUCACCUCUGAACAAGAGCUCAGACUCCCGGGGUCCAAGUCCCGGCCCCAGCACUGGCUGGGUGACUCUUGGCCCAUUACGGCUUCUCGCAGUCUCAGUCUCUGCCUCUGUAAAAGGUACCCCAUUCUGUUCUCAGGAUGCUCAGCCCCAUGGGGAAAGAGGGUGAAGAGUGCCACGUGUCGUGGCUGUUAAGGGAGUGCCGUUCCUUGUAUGGGUCUGUGGUUCUCAAAGCGUAGAUGCUGGGACUUGUGAGAAAUACGUUCUGAGGCCCCUCCCAGACCAAAGGAAGCAGACAUGCCAGGCCCCACUGGUUCCUGCUAACACCCCUCCAGGAGUCUGAUGCAGGCUCGACACUGAAAUCAGGGGGCUCAGACGAGUAAUUUCCGAGAUUAGGUCUUUCUGAACCACAGUGCUGGCUGACUCUCAGAGACGCCAUUUAAGUGGAGUCAUUUGUCAGACACCAACCACGGGCCAGACCUGACACUGACGACACCAACCACGGGCCAGACCUGACACUGACGCUGGAGACAGAAACAAACAGGGGUGGUCUGAGCGCAAGGCGGCCGACCGAGACCAGGACCGGGGCUGCCACUUCUCCUCAGGCAGAUCCCCACUCCCCUGAAAAGCACCAGAUUUCAAACAGGACUCACUUCCACCCCUAAGCUUACAGCUUCAGAAGCUGUUUUUUAUUUUUUGGCAGCACCUGCGGCAUACGGAAGUUCCCAGGCCAAGGAUCGAACCCGUGCCACAGCAGGGACCCACACUGCUGCAGUGACAAUGCCAGAUCCUUCACUCCCUGUGCCACAGAACUCCCUAGAACCUUUUUCUUUUGGGCGGGGGGGGGGGGGGGGUCUCUUUAGGGCUGCACCUGUGGCAUAUGCAAGUUGCCAAGCUAGGAGUCAAAAUGAAUUGGAGCCAUAGCUGCCAUCCUACACCACAGCUCACAGCAACACUGGAUCCUUAACCCACUGAGCAGGGCCAAGGAUCGAACCCACAUCCUCAUAGAUACUAGUCAGGUUCGUUUCUGCUGAGCCACCAGGGGAACUCCAGAACCUAUUUUUUAUUUUUGUCUUUUUAGGGCCACACCUGUGGCAUAUGGACGUUCCCAGGCUAGGAGCUGAAUCAGAGCUGCAGCCACCGGCCUAACGCCACAGCAACGCCAGAUCCAAGCUGCAUCUGUGACCUACGUCACAAUUCAGGGCAAUGCCAGAUCCUUAACCCACUGAGCGAGGCCAGGGAAGGAACCUGUGUCCUCAUGGAUACCAGUCAGAUUGUUCCCGCUGAGCCACAACAGGAACUCCCAGGACCUAUUUUUCAAAUGCAGCUUCGGGGUUUUGGUAAUUGCCUUCGAUGGCGAACUUCAUGCAGCAUUCACCUGACAUGUGCCAAACUAGAAGAAACACCAAGCGACCUGCUUAUGAUGCACCUGCCUUCCAAGUGACUUCCAGAUAAAAUCUCCUCCUGGAACUUAUAAUCCCCCACCAUGUGAUCCAAUACUGCCUGAUUUCUGAAGCAUUUCACAGUUUAAAUAAUGCCUUCCCAGGACUUCUCUUUUUUUCGUCUUUUCUAGGGCUGCGCCCGUGGCAUAUGGAGGUUCCCAGUCUAGGGGUUGAAUCAGAGCUGUAGCCACUGGCCUACACCACAGCCACAGCAAUGUCGGAUCCAAGCUGUGUCUGGGACCUACACCACGUCUCAUGGCAACGCCAGAUCCUCAACCACUGGGCAAGGCCAGGGAUCGAACCCCCAACCUCAUGGUUCCCAGUCGGAUUUGUUUCCACUGCGCCAGGACGGGACCUCCCCAGGACUCCUCUUGCUGAGCUUCCCAGGGACGCAGUUACAAUGGGUAUGUCAUUACCUCCCUUUUGCAGAUGCGGAAGUGGGCUCGAGGAGGUCACAGGAGCAGCAGCAGAGUCACGUGCAGAACAGAUGUUUAUUGCCCACCAGAGCGAGUGCCUAGAUCCGCCCCCACGCCUGCGCCCAUGGCGCUCUCCCCCCUCCGCCCCCGGCUUUCUCAGCGGGACUCUGGCCGGCGGGAGGGUCACGGCGCAGGCAGUGUGGAUCUCACGGGUAGGUUUAUUCUGCAGGGCAGCAGCACUGCUACCAGUGGACGUGACGUGCCACGCACAAUCCCACGGUGCGGCCAGGCCGACGUCCCAUCCGAGCGGAGGUGGUUAGUGGUGGCCAUGAGCAGGAGCAGGACUGGAAGCUUUCUCUGUGUUCGUAUUAACAGUCAGAAAGCACGGAGCACAGCUUUCCAGACAGGGAGGCGGGCGGAGGGUCUGUGGAUCGUGCGCACGCAGCCCGCCUGCAGGCGCGAAGACGGGGGCGGGAAGGCCUGCUCCCCGGAGCGCAAGGGCAGCCCUGGGUGCGUGAAGGACUCAAACGACUAGAGCGUCUCAUUUGGAGGCAAAGUGAGAAAAGUCCAGGGCGAGGGCACAUGUCUAUGUGCUGCCUUCUUGGGAAACACAACAGGGCGGCCGGCGUGCACAGCUAACUGCUGGCGUCAGCAGGCUCCGAGCAAGUCGUGUUUCUACCACCCCUGGAAGCUGCACUUGGCCCAUGGGCAUGAGCAAUGGUUUUUAACACUCAGACGAUGGGAGCAGAACUUUUGAAUUCUCCGUUCCAGCAGGCAGAGCACACUCCACGUGCCCACUGCCUCUGGUCGCUCGGCGAGCCAGGUGCCUGCUUCCGCUCCCACCAGCGACGACCUUGUCCUGAGAAGGACGGACGGUCUUUUUCACUGCACGCUUUUUUUGGGGGGGCUACACCUGUGGCAUAUGGAAGUUCCCAGACGAGGGAUCAAAUCUAAACUGCAGCUGUGACCUACGCCACAGCCGUGACAAUGCCAGAUCCUUAACCCACUGUGCCACAGCAGGAACUCCCACUCCCCACCCCCUUUAAGCAGCAAAAACCUUACCUUUCAAGGCUUUACUUCUUUUAUCUAAAAUAAAGGGAAAGAAACUCUGGUCAAUUCAAUGCUUUCAAAAGCGUUUCUAGUCAAUUCAUCACCGAGAACAACACGUGGCUGAAGAGUUCAUCGCUUAGGUCAAGCGUCAUAGGAAGCUUUCAGAAAACCGGAGUCACUGCCGGGUCGCACAGCCAACGAGUGGUCAGACUUCCACCGCAGGUGGGCUCGGAAGAGCCAAACGCCCUUUGGAAUCCACACGGCCCUUCAUUCCCCCCCACGUGCCCAACCUCAGGCUUGCAGUUUAAAGUUUUCUCCUUUCGCUUCUCUGUUCAAUCAAUCACAUUUCCUCCCUCCCUUCUUUUGCUUUUUAGGGCCACACCUGCAGCGUGUGGAGAUUCCCAGGCAUCGGAGCAACAUACGCCACAGCCACAGUGACGUGGGACCCAGGCUGCGUCUGCAACCCUACACCACAGCUCAUAGAAACGCCGGAUCCUUAACGUACUGCACCGGCAGCACAUGGAAGUUCCCGGGCUAGGGGUCGAGUGGGAGUGGGAGCUGCAGCCUAAGCCACCACCAUGGCAACACCGGAUCCAGGCCGCAUCUACGACAUACACUGCAGCUUGAAGCGAUGCUGGAUCCUUAACCCACUGGGUGAGGCCGAGGAUUGAACCUGCAUCCUCAUAAAGACAAUGAUGGGUUCUUAACCCACGAAGCCACUUGGCCAUGCCCACACCAUGCUGAGGUUCCUGGGCCAGGGACUGAACCCAUGCCACAUCCUUAAUCUGCUGAUCCACCAGGGAACUCCUUAACCAAUCACAGUAAUCCAUGACUGGGCCUCGUCUCUGCUCCACUGGGAACCACUGGUUACCCCAACCAAACUUUUACCAUCAGAGUAUUUCAAACAUUCACAUCCGUGGAGAAAGUCUAACAAGACACUGGGGACCAGGCGUGGCAUCCGUAAGUGUUUCAGCCUGCGUCUCUUAAAGCUGAGGGCCUCUCCUGUGCAUUCUAAACACCACCGUCCCCCUAAGAAAACUCACAAUUCCCUGACAGCAAGGUCUUCGCAGCUGCCCCUUGGUGCUGACACGGCUCUCACGCUUACAAGGAUCACGGGGUCUGGUGUUCACUCCCGGGUAAGAACCCAGUUCCUUCACAGUAUGAAUACCAUUUGUGAUUCGCUUUGGUUUGGUUUCUUUUCUUUUCUUUCUUUGUCUUUUUUGGCAUUUCUUGGGCCGCU
rnacentral:lncRNA from 1 species